UACGGGGGGGGCAAGCGUUGUUCGGAAUUACUGGGCGUAAAGGGCUCGUAGGCGGCCAACUAAGUCAGACGUGAAAUCCCUCGGCUUAACCGGGGAACUGCGUCUGAUACUGGAUGGCUUGAAUCCGGGAGAGAGAUGCGGAAUUCCAGGUGUAGCGGUGAAAUGCGUAGAUAUCUGGAGGAACACCGGUGGCGAAGGCGGCAUCCUGGACCGGCAUUGACGCUGAGGAGCGAAAGCCAGGGGAGCAAACGGG
rnacentral:rRNA from 1 species